rnacentral:rRNA from 1 species
UGGCUCAGGACCCGACGCUNGCGGCGUGCCUAAUACAUGCAAGUCGAACGCGCAGCGAAAGGUGCUUGCACCUUUCAAGCGAGUGGCGAACGGGUGAGUAACACGUGGAUAACCUGCCUCAAGGCUGGGGAUAACAUUUGGAAACAGAUGCUAAUACCGAAUAAAACUUAGUAUCGCAUGAUACAAAGUUGAAAGGCGCUACGGCGUCACCUAGAGAUGGGUCCGCGGUGCAUUAGUUAGUUGGUGGGGUAAAGGCCUACCAAGACAAUGAUGCAUAGCCGAGUUGAGAGACUGAUCGGCCACAUUGGGACUGAGACCGGCCCCA